AGUGAACGCUGGCGGUAGGCCUAACACAUGCAAGUCGAACGGCAGCACAGUAAGAGCUUGCGCUUACGGGUGGCGAGUGGCGGACGGGUGAGGAAUACAUCGGAAUCUACUUUUUCGUGGGGGAUAACGUAGGGAAACUUACGCUAAUACCGCAUACGACCUACGGGUGAAAGCAGGGGAUCUUCGGACCUUGCGCGAUUGAAUGAGCCGAUGUCGGAUUAGCUAGUUGGCGGGGUAAAGGCGCACCAUGGCGACGAUCCGUAGCUGGUCUGAGAGGAUGAUCAGCCACACUGGAACUGAGACACGGUCCAGACUCCUACGGGAGGCAGCAGUGGGGAAUAUUGGACGAUGGGGGCAAGGCUGAUCCAGCCAUACCGCGUGGGUGAAGAAGGACUUCGGGUUGUAAAGCCAUUUUGUUGGGAAAGAAAAGCAGCAGGUUAAUACCCCGCUGUUCUGACGGUACCCAAAGAAUAAGCACCGGCUAACUUCGUG
rnacentral:rRNA from 1 species